UACAGCAUCACCUGUAAUUUAAAAUUUCCCUUCUAGAGAAACAAGAGCCAUCAUUUAAGAAAACAGAUAAUUACCUUUAUGUUGAGACUGUGAGUGUCUUGCCUGCUAACUCUACAUGGAUGAUGUCAAGUUUAUCAUCCGGCAACAGCUCUGAAACAAACCCAUCCUGGGAAGUGAUUGAGAGUAAUAACCACCCAGCUUCUGAUGACUUCUGUAACCAGAAACUCACCGGCAACGUGAGCACAAUAAAUGUAACGGUUGCAGCAAAAUUUAAGUUUUGCUUGACGGACCAAGCUGGGUCCAGGUGCAGUGAGGAACGUUAUGAGGUUCCAAACCUCAAAUUCCAAGCCUCCACAGCUCAUCAAUCUUAUGACGGUCACUUAAUAAUGCCACUGAGAAUCAGCAUAUUGGCUCUGCUCUUGGCUCUGACAAUAAUCUAAUUUGUGCUCGUGUGCUACAUCAAGAGAAAGAAACCCCAAUAUCAGCCUCAGCUUCAGAUGAUCCAGAUGGUUGGACCUAACGACAACGACUACAUCUACAUCAAUUUCAAGGACUUUAAUUACGACAAGAAAUGGGAGUUUCCACGGGAGAACCUGGAGC